CUCCCACAUCACCCGCUGCACACCUGCCCCCCAACAGGCCACGCCCCUACCUUACUCCCUGCCCCCAGGCCACGCCCUCACAUCCUCCCCCCACCCCUGUCCUGCUCUCCGGCCUAGACUAGCGCCCUGGAGGUGACCUGCGCCCCGCCCUCUGGCCCAGGCCACGCCCCACAUCUACCUCCCACCUCCCUCGGGUCCCGCCUACCGGGGCUUGCUCCCAUCCCCACCUCCAGGCCUCCCGCAGGCCGGAAGGCCCCUACUUGGUCCUCCCUGUUCCCACCGGGCCCUAGCUGGCCCUAGCUGGCCCUACCUGGCAGCGUGUGCAUGAGCACGGCGGGCAGGCGGGAGGCGAAGAGCAAGGCCACGCCGGGCAGGGCCGGGCUGCAGGCGGCCGCCAGGAGCAGGAAGAGGGCCGAGGCCGCCACGAAGGAGAGAGGUACCUGCCAAACAGGGGCCCGCCCAGCAGCUGGAGCACACCGAAGAUGGUCUGCUGGUAGCCGAAGGCCACGGAGUCCAGGCCCAGGCUCCGGGACAGCCCAGCCAGAAAGGACCCAGAGUGGGUAGAGGAUACUCUUCCUCCCCUACAGUUUGGCAACUUGGACGGGAUAAAAAAUUCACUGGCUGGACGUUCUUCGCUCCUGGACUACUGCAGCUGAGAGGUCCUGGACCCCUGACAAGAGCUGGCAGGAGGUAAGAGGUCUUACCACGUCAGUCUCCCAGAUCUAUGCCUGCAGGGUCCACUGGAAGCGAGAGUGGACACAAUUGGAAACUUUGGUUAUAUUACGAAGGCUUUGACUGGAAUGUCAUAUUUUGAGAGAAACAUACAGACUCAGAUAUGACAAGACAGCUUUUGAGGAAUAAAGAUUGCCUUUCUGGAAUAAAGCCACUUGGAAAUAUUGGCCUGAUACCUUGUUUACAGAAGUUCCAAGCAAUCUUACCUGGUUAAGUAAGGAAGGUCACUUAUCUGGCAGGUGCAAGGAACCUCGAAAUAUUUUGGGGGACUUCGAGAAGAGAGGAAUCCACCCAAAUCUAACUGAACCCACAUUUUUCCCGAAGCUCUGCAAACUGAAGUGGGACAACUUGAUAUAAACUGAAGAGAGAUCAGCACGAUAGCAGGCCUGUUGCUGUGUAAGCCACUCGAAAGGGUACCUGAACACUCAAUGACAUCAUCAGAGACAUUUUAAGCGACAAAAGAUACUUCUUUGAUGCUGACGUCUAGAAAUCUUCUUAACUGGCUGUCCUCUGAACUCAGAAACUGGUUUAUAAUUUGCUACAACCAUUAACCUUGUUUUUCUUUUGUUUCCGUAGAAAUACUUCUUAUUAAAUACCUGAUUGCCAGCUUCCACAAUAUAAGCCUAACUUUGGGAGCCCACCUGCAUCACUGCCUUCUAAAAUGAACUUAAUUGGACUGAUCUAUUAUCAGGACUAAGAAAUGCCUUCAGUGAGAUGGAACAAUCUACCAUUCAGCUUCUGGAUUAUGAAACUUCUUUCAGUUUCAAAAGGGCUUUGAAACUUCCAGGGAAGUUUCAGAGGAGGACACUGAUGGGGUUCAGGGCAGGCCGCCCCAAGAUGUGCUACUCUGAUGUGUGGAUUAUUUACAGCUGAAGACAGUAAAGCCUCAGAAGACUCUGAAAGAAACUUUGACCACCCUCCCCCACCACUAACUGCCUAAAAGGAUUUAAGAUAUAAGGCCUAUCCCCAGGACAGGCCAUCACCAUAGAUAACUCUGGAUAUGGAUAGACUGGGAGGGUCCUUGCUAAGCCCAUUCUUAUCAAAGUUCUGGUUACCAAACAUUUACAUUUGUAAGGGAAAUCUCCAUUUGUAAAGGUAUCUCUUUUUCUGUACCCGGAAGAAGGGGAGAUGACCUCAUCUCUAGAAACUUAUCAAUACAGAAGGCAAGGCCUUAAAUCUGCAUAAUAACCUUACUCUUGUUUACUGUGCUUUUCUGGUAAUCUCCCAUAACUGAGUCCCCCCAGCCCCAACAUCCUCCUUUGUCUUUAGCUGAAGAUAGUAUUUAAGAGGAGAACCUCUGCCAUUUUGUAGAGUUACCCAGUUUUUCCGGGUCUCUCCCAUGUAUACAUAUUGUAAAGCUUUCUCUGAUUUUCUUCUGUUAUUCUGUCUCCUGUCAAUUUAAUUUGUGACCCAGCCAGAAAGGACCCAGAGGGUAGAGGACAGUCUUCCUCCCCUACAACACCAAGGUGCCUGCCCAGGCCACCUGGUGCUAGGGAGGGACGUCUGGGCUUGGGCC